GACGGAGGAUGCAAGUGUUAUCCGGAAUCACUGGGCGUAAAGCGUCUGUAGGUGGUUUAACAAGUCUGCUGUUAAAGCUUGAAGCUCAACUUCAAAAAUGCCGUAGAAACUUUUAAACUUGAGGAUGGUAGGGGUAGAGGGAAUUUCCAGUGGAGCGGUGAAAUGCGUAGAUCUUGGAAAGACCACCAAUGGCGAAGGCACUCUACUGGGCCAUACCUGACACUAAGAGACGAAAGCUAGGGGAGCAAAUGGG
rnacentral:rRNA from 1 species